CCAGACUCCUACGGGAGGCAGCAGUGAGGAAUAUUGGUCAAUGGGCGAGAGCCUGAACCAGCCAAGUCGCGUGAGGGAAGACGGUCCUAUGGAUUGUAAACCUCUUUUGUCGGGGAGCAAAAAGGCCUCGUGAGGCCACAAGUGAGAGUACCCGAAGAAAAAGCAUCGGCUAACUCCGUGCCAGCAGCCGCGGUAAUACGGAGGAUGCGAGCGUUAUUCGGAUUUAUUGGGUUUAAAGGGUGCGUAGGCGGACUGGAAGGCCGGCGGGAAAAGCGGGGGGCCCACCCUGUUUCCGCCGUUGAAACUGUCGGUCUUGAGUGGGCGAGAAGUAUGCGGAAUGCGUGGUGUAGCGGUGAAAUGCAUAGAUAUCACGCAGAACUCCGAUUGCGAAGGCAGCAUGCCGGCGCCCAACUGACGCUGAAGCACGAAAGCGUGGGUAUCGAACAGGAUUAGAUACCCCGGUA
rnacentral:rRNA from 1 species